rnacentral:rRNA from 1 species
UGCAAGUCGAACGGUAACAGGAAAGCAGCUUGCUGCUUUGCUGACGAGUGGCGGACGGGUGAGUAAUGUCUGGGGAUCUGCCCGAUGGAGGGGGAUAACCACUGGAAACGGUGGCUAAUACCGCAUAACGUCGCAAGACCAAAGUGGGGGACCUUCGGGCCUCACACCAUCGGAUGAACCCAGAUGGGAUUAGCUAGUAGGUGGGGUAACGGCUCACCUAGGCGACGAUCCCUAGCUGGUCUGAGAGGAUGACCAGCCACACUGGAACUGAGACACGGUCCAGACUCCUACGGGAGGCAGCAGUGGGGAAUAUUGCACAAUGGGCGCAAGCCUGAUGCAGCCAUGCCGCGUGUAUGAAGAAGGCCUUCGGGUUGUAAAGUACUUUCAGCGGGGAGGAAGGGAUGGUGCUUAAUACGCACCGUCAUUGACGUUACCCGCAGAAGAAGCACCGGCUAACUCCGUGC